rnacentral:ncRNA from 1 species
GGGUUGCUGAAUUAGAGAUUGGCGCCCGUUUUUUAAACUUUUUAAAUUUGGAGUUCUAUAAUGUCUCUAAGCGUUGAAGCGAAAGCUAAAAUCGUUGCUGAGUUCGGUCGUGAUGC